rnacentral:rRNA from 1 species
CUACGGGAUGCUCCAGUGAGGAAUAUUGCACAAUGGGGGGAACCCUGAUGCAGCAACGCCGCGUGGAGGAUGACGCAUUUCGGUGUGUAAACUCCUUUUAUAUGUCAAGAAAAUGACGGUAGCAUAUGAAUAAGCACCGGCUAAUUCCGUGCCAGCAGCCGCGGUAAUACGGAGGGUGCAAGCGUUACUCGGAAUCACUGGGCGUAAAGGACGCGUAGGCGGGUUGGAAAGUCAGGUGUGAAAUCCUACAGCUUAACUGUAGAACUGCACUUGAAACUUCUAAUCUAGAGUAUGGGAGGGGGAGAUGGAAUUAGUGGUGUAGGGGUAAAAUCCGUAGAUAUCACUAGGAAUACCUAAAGCGAAGGCGAUCUCCCGGAACAUUACUGACGCUAAGGCGUGAAAGCGUGGGGAGCAAACAGGAUUAGAUACCCUAGUAGUC